CAAAGAUGAUGGCGAACUUGUUCACGAUUCCAUUGAAGCCAAAGGUGGUAGAAUGGUUACCUUAUCUAAUGAAAGUAUGAAACACACAUGUCAAUAUACAAUCCUCCCAAAAAGAAAAAGUACAUAAAGUCUCAUAGAUAGAUAUAAAUAAAACCAAACCAAACUCUGAUCCCAAAUUCCAAUGUUGUAUUAGAUUUUGAUAUUUUGGAUUUAUACCAGGAACUUGCAUAUGGAUAAGCUGUUAAUUCCUUUUAGCUGAGCACGUAAACACAAGUAAAGAAGUGUACAAUUACAAUUACAAUGGCCACUCUGCUAAUGGCACUCUUCUUAUUCUUCUUCUUCUUCUUGUGUGUGGUAGAGUUUUAUGCAGAGCACAACAGCCUCAGGUUGUUUAUCUUUCAAUUUCAGCAUCUUCACCUGACAAAACAAUCUUCCAGAUUGAGAAUUCUGGUGUCAUAGCUUGCCUCAGAGCUAACAGUGCAGAAGUGGCCUAUGAAGCUGCAAAUGCUGCAAUAGCAGAUGGCAUUUCACUUGUUCUAAACCAGCUGGUCAAGGAGCACCUGACUACGUCACUCGGAGUAUGCUUGCACCCUUUAAGUUUCUGGUUUCUCUUUCUGCAUCAAUAUUCUUUGUUUAGUGUAUCUUCACAUGAACCUACAUUAAGUUUUAUGAUAUGGAGAAAACAUCAUUGCAUUGUCUCGUUUUGUUGAAAUUUGAGAUUGUUUUCUGUACCACUGAGUCAAUAUGCUGGUUGAAGCAUCAAAUAGUCAAUACGCUGUUGUCGUCUCGUUGUCUUCGUGAAAUUCUUCAUAGCCAAAAUGUUUUCCUUUGGAUUAUUACUAACAUAAUAACUGUAUUAGCCUACUUCUGCAAAUUUUGGAAAACAAUUGAAAGUUGAGACAUUUGAAAUUGUUGGGUAUUUAUGAAAUUGUUGGGUAUUUACUAGCUUGUAAAACAAUUUUAUUUCAGAUUCUUAUGAUUUGUAAUUUUUUAUUACAUAUAGAUCAUCAAAACUCAAUGUUAACUCUAAACAAUUUGAAGAAAUGAAAAAAGGCUCCCAUUUAAGAUAAUCAUUACAUGAUAUUACAUUUCUACUCAACAGUUGUCUGAAUCAAACAGAUAUCUGCUCCUAGGUUGGGAAUGUUCUCAGGAUUGAGGAUGCAAAAGCUGCAUAAAAUUUUUGAUGAGUCCAGCAAUUGUUAAGGUUUGAAUUUGCAGAUCUUAUUACUAUAUUAAGAUGUCACAUAACAACUGCUAGUGCUUGGUCACAGUGUUUUGUUAUUUCUUUCAUUUUCUUUUUCUUUUUCUUUAUUUCUUUUUUUUUGCUCCGAUCGAUUACCACGACGUUAUGUAUUACAUUCAGAAUGGUGAAGUUUUAUACAUUCCUGGCACAAUGACUCCAACUGAAGUAAGGCUCAAUUUGGAGAUCCGAUUAACAUGAAUUCUUGCUUCCUUAAUUUCCAUACCUUGUGCAUCUUUUUGAGCAUUCAUUUGAUCUUGAUUUAUUGUUCUUAAUGAAGAUACUGUCUGUAUGUGAAGCAGGAGCUAAAAUUGUCAAGACUCUAUUGAGGAAUAUAUUUCGCGGGGAGCAUCAGCCGUUGUUCUGUCGGAUGCCAUAUUCGAAAAAGAGACGAUUGCGAAACGCAAUUACGAAAAGAUACAGAAACUUGCACAUUUUGCAGCCUUGCUGGGUAAUAAGGUGUAAAUAGGUAACAUUAUUAAUUUGUAUACCUUCAUAAAAAGUUUAUGGUUGUGGGUUUCUUAUGUUAUAGUUAUUUAGUUCAUUUUCAUAGAAACUUAUGGUUGUAGAUAUUAUAUCGAGAAUUAAAACAAACAAGCCACUCAAUUGAGAGAGA